rnacentral:rRNA from 1 species
AACAAACGCUGGCGGCGUGCCUAAUACAUGCAAGUCGAACGGGGAAAGCUUUCGGGCGAGUACUAGUGGCGCACGGGUGAGUAACGCGUGGAUAAUCUGCCUUAGGGUGGGGGAUAACUAGUCGAAAGAUUAGCUAAUACCGCAUAAGACCACAAGAACUGCGGUUCAAGGGGUCAAAGGUUUUUCGCUCUAAGAUGAGUCCGCGUAAGAUUAGCUAGUUGGUGAGGUAAUGGCUCACCAAGGCGACGAUCUUUAACUGGUCUGAGAGGAUGAUCAGUCACACUGGAACUGAGACACGGUCCAGACUCCUACGGGAGGCAGCAGUAGGGAAUAUUGCACAAUGGAGGAAACUCUGAUGCAGCGACGCCGCGUGAGUGAUGAAGGCCUUCGGGUCGUAAAGCUCUGUCGCAAGGGAAUAACACAAUGAAUGUACCUUGCAAGAAAGGAUCGGCUAACUUCGUGCCAGCAGCCGCCGUAACAC